rnacentral:rRNA from 1 species
GUCUACGGCCAUACCACCCUGAACGCGCCCAAUCUCGUCUGAUCUCGGAAGCUAAGCAGGGUCGGGCCUGGUUAGUACUUGGAUGGGAGAUUCGCAUAGAAAGUGGUGACGUUUAGA